rnacentral:rRNA from 1 species
UACGAAGGGGGCUAGCGUUGCUCGGAAUCACUGGGCGUAAAGGGUGCGUAGGCGGGUCUUUAAGUCAGGGGUGAAAUCCUGGAGCUCAACUCCAGAACUGCCUUUGAUACUGAAGAUCUUGAGUUCGGGAGAGGUGAGUGGAACUGCGAGUGUAGAGGUGAAAUUCGUAGAUAUUCGCAAGAACACCAGUGGCGAAGGCGGCUCACUGGCCCGAUACUGACGCUGAGGCACGGAAAGCGUGGGGAGCAAACAGGGAU